rnacentral:rRNA from 1 species
AGCGGCAUCGUUGGGUAGCUAUGUACGGUUGUGAUAAGCGCUGAAAGCAUCUAAGCACGAAGCACGCUUCAAGAUUAGGUAUCCCUGCCGAUUUAUCGGCACUAAAGACUCCUCGGAGAUGACGAGGUUGAUAGGCUGCAGGUAUAAGCACAGUAAUGUAUUUAGCCGAGCAGUACUAAUAGGUCGUGAGGCUUAACCAUAUUUUUAUUA